rnacentral:rRNA from 1 species
UACGUAGGGUGCGAGCGUUGUCCGGAUUUAUUGGGCGUAAAGAGCGUGUAGGCGGCCAUACAGGUCAGCUGUGAAAACUCGAGGCUCAACCUCGAGACGUCGGUUGAAACCGUAUGGCUAGAGUCCGGAAGAGGAGAGUGGAAUUCCCGGUGUAGCGGUGAAAUGCGCAGAUAUCGGGAAGAACACCCGUGGCGAAGGCGGCUCUAUGGGACGGUACUGACGCUGAGACGCGAAAGCGUGGGGAGCGAACAGG